GGGUUGACACCUUGUCGUGGUGAGGGAGCUCAGUAGUUCUAUCACAGUAGAUAACGAAUGGGGGGACAACACAACACAACCUUGACCUUGAGUUUAACCCCGCCCAUUUUCCCUCUCUUUCUUUCAAGGCCAGUCGUUCUCUCUCUUACUUUUUCAAGGCCAACCCCUCCACUUCCCCCACCACUUCAAGGCCAAGGCAUUAUUAGACCUUGAUGUUUUCAAGGUCAAGGUCAUUCAUGUUACUCCCCACUUUUGCAAGGCCAACAACUCCUCACUCAUUCAAGAUGAAUCGCGCAAUUGUCCUUACUCAUUUUCCACCCCAAACUGUAUAAAAGUUAAUGUGUUGUGUUGUGUAACACAGUUCUUGUGUAUAUCUACAAUAACAAGAAAUUCUUUAAAAAUGGAACCCAUCAGAAAAAGUUCUAUUUUUAAUACUCCUGAGGAUAUCAUAGUUUGUCCAUACGACAAAAACCACGUUCUUCUUUGGUUUCGGCUCGAAAGGCACAUUUGGAAGUGCCAUCGGGCCGAUAAAGAAAAACAAAGGGCCUUACGUGAAGAGAUGAUGAAAGAAGAAGAGGAGAACUGGGAUCAUUUUAAUGAGCCCAGCUACCUCGACUUCUUAAAAUCUAAAAGGAAUCAUAAUGCCUUAAAUUAAAGAAGGCCGGGGUUCUUUCGUUAAAAUAGUGUAGAAUAAGUUUAGCUAAGUAGUAGUAGUAGUUGUAGUAAAAUGUAAAUAUUAUAUUAAUGUAUAAAAAAAAUAAAAGUUGUAAAAAAAAGCUACAUGUUUUUAUGUACACCUAUUUCAACCUACUGAUACAAGUAAGUGUGACCUGCAAGCAGAGAGUCGCUCACUGUAUCAAGACCACUCAUUCCCUCUUUAUCUUUGAUGUUUUCAUCUCACUUUUUCAAGGCCACAAUAUUGAUGCAUUUUCAUUCAAGGUUAAAAAGUGGGGGUAUAGUUAAUAUAUAGAAUUUAGUACAAGUUUGAUAGCAGUCAGUACUGAUUUAAUCCUCCGAGAAAUAAGAAUAUAAAAAAGUGCAUAUAUCUGUGUUAAUGUCUAAGAGUAUUCGCUGCUGGGUCAUGGAUGUAUUGAAUCGAAUCGCUCGAUGCGGACAGAAGCCCAUUUUAAAAGCUGGUGAGCUAGAGUUGAACACAAGAUUCCGCAUACAUUAAUAUUAGACGCACAAAGUCUCUGUUCGGAAAUUCAGUGCUUGUUGAGUUGGACAAUUAUGCAGUGUUUCUGCCGAGAAGAAUAAGUGAUUAUUUAACUGAGGAGAAAAUUGAUGAGUUAUUACGAGAUCCACGUCCACUAUAUUUAAUAUAUUUGGGAAAAGAAGAUGCUAGAAACCCGACAUCUGCACAUUGUUUUGAGUUUCAACGUGUUGAUGAUGAAAUAUUAGGUGAGUGAACAUAAUGUAAAAUGGAGGAUGAAAAGAAAUUAAAGAAAUGUAUAUUUCAUUUACAGUUAACGAGGGUGCCGAAGAGUAGGAUGAAAUUAUCGGAAAAAGACUUAUGUGUGUGAAGUAAUGUGCGUUUUGUGCUAGUGAUAGUUUCUUAAAAUAAAUGAAUAAAAAUCAUGUGUCUAGACGAUGGACAAUAUGAAAAAUGUUUAUACGAGUGUUUCGAUAAAAGACUGUUAUCAUAUAAGAACUGGGUACAUUCAUACCCAUCUCCAUGGAGUUUAGCAAAAGCGGGAUUGUUUUAUAUUCAAAUAUCUGAUUGUACCCAGUGUUUUGUUUGUGGAGUAAUAAUUUCACGAUGGGAAAAAAGUGAUGAUGCGUUUAUGGAGCAUAAAAAACAUUCUCCAAAAUGUGGAUAUGUGAAAUUGCUUUCCACAGACAAAACUACAAUUCAGAAAUUCAAAUUAGUUACUAAAAAUAGCAUUGUUGUAGUUUUAUUUUUUAUAGUAUUUAUAUUCAUAUAUUAUUUAUGUGCAUAGGUAAUGUGAUGCAGACUUGUUAACCUUGAUCAGUGUCGGGCGCGCGCCAAAGGCGAGGUAAACUAAAGGUUUCAAGAGACGUCUUGAUUUAAUUAGUUUAUAAUUAAAUAAGUGGUAGAAUAAUAUGGAGAAUUUAUAAUAGAUUUAAGGAUAUUUAAUGUACUACCUAUAAUAUUGAUGAAAUAAAGUGUUUUAAUUGA